rnacentral:rRNA from 1 species
CAGCCGUAAACUAUGCGCGUUAGGUGUAUCGGUGACCACGAGUUACCGAGGUGCCGAAGGGAAACCGUGAAACGUGCCGCCUGGGAAGUACGGUCGCAAGGCUGAAACUUAAAGGAAUUGGCGGGGGAGCACCACAACAGGUGGAGCCUGCGGUUUAAUUGGACUCAACGCCGGGAAGCUCACCAGAUAGGACAGCAGAAUGAUUGCCGGGCUGAAGACCCUGCAUGACUAGCUGAGAGGAGGUGCAUGGCGUAGACGUCU